GCCCUUCAGCUCACCCAAGAAGUCAAAAGAUUCAAUUUCUUCAUCACAGUACAUGCAUACAGCCGGCAGAGAGCAAAGUUUGCUUAUCACUUUGGCACUGCUUAGCUCUGUGAUGCUGAAGACAUUCUCAUUUCUGUGCAUUACAGAAGAGAUUCAGAUUUCCAGAGUUUGUAAGCUUUGGAAGAUGCUAGUUGAGCAUUCCACACUAUGGAGACAUGUACCUGACACCUUACAGGGUAUGUAUGUAUGGACUCAUAUUUGGGAAAAUGCUUGAGCAUAUCUGCUUUAUAGGGAUGGCAGUUCUUACACAGAACCCAUGCUGGCCUUCUCAGAGGGUAUAUGUAUGGUGGCUCGUUUGAGCUUUGAUACUGUUCAAGAGCCCUGAACAUUAAUCAUUCCGCUGUCCAAUUCAAGUCGAAGUCAAUAGAUUUUAGUCCUUUGAGCUUGAUAAUGUUUAGUUAUUGCAGGUAAGGCUUCUCUCCUGGUGAUACAUGGGAUCAGGGUUCUUGUCACUGAGUGUGGGAUGCUACUCCUCGUGUGGGAGCUGAGGCAUAAAUCUGAAAUCAUUCCAGCUUUGAUUAAAGGAAGUUGGGAAGAGGUGCCCCCACCUGACUAAACUAUAGUUGCAUGUUGCACACUUGAGGAAACUCCCAGUCACCAAAACUCCCCCAAUUCCUGACAAAUCUGGAGCUGCACAACUGUAAAAUUUCAAAGUCCUGGAUCUUCGAGGAAAAUGGCCCCUCUUCACUCCUCUUCCAACACAACUGUGGCUUGGAAGCUGUUCCUGCCUUCAGUGACAGGUAGGUGGUGACCUUGUCCAGGCUGAAGGCUCUGUACUUCCUGAAGUGGACAUUUCCUUAAGUGUCAGAUAAGGGGUUUAUGAUGGACCCUCUGUGAAGUUGAUAGAUUCCAGAACCUAAAACUGGUAAACUCCUUCUCAGCAGAUGAAUUCCUACAGGCAGUAGUCCAGCAUCUUCAGAAGCUUUGGAAACUCAAUAUGAGAGUGAAUGGUCUCACAACCCAAGUAUUGUCUCAACUAGAAAGGAUGGAUUCACUGCAGCCAUUUGAGCCAAGUACUCCAAUGCUGAAGAUUUCUCCUCUACCCCUCACAUCUUCUCUGUUUGCCUAAGAUACCCAGACCCCAAACCCUCAAGUUCCUGGAAGUCCAUACCCCAUGUCAGGAGAGAGGAUGCCAAGGCUCUUCUGCAGAAAGUUCUGCUCCACUCUCUGGUCCCCUUUAAUCCAGCCCAAACUCAUCUACUGAAGGGUGGGCG
rnacentral:lncRNA from 1 species